UAAAGCAAAUAUUUGGUUCUGGUAUAAUGUUAGCUACAGAGUUUUUUACAUUACACAAUGUAGGAUAAUUUCGUGAUGUGUAAAAGUCUGAUUUAUGUGAUAAGCCAAAUUUAAGGCGCCCUAAAAGGAGUGGUAUGGCAGCAGGAGCAUAAGUCUUAUGAUGAUGACGCGAAGGAAAUCACAACUCAAGUGGGUAGAUCUGGAAAUCAAUGAGUUCUAGCUUGAAACGAAUAAAAAACUAACUAAAUCGAAGCGAAAGAGGGUGCCAGCAGCUGCGGUCACUCCCUCUCUCGAGGAGCUAAUAAGGGUGCAGCUUAGAGGCAGUUAGUCAAAAUGUGUGACGCAAGACAUACAGCAGGGACUAUGGGUGAAAUCUCAGUCUUGCGGGAGGUCCAAAGCUUGCGUAAAGAUGAAUCUGCGAAGUUAUGGGCAUAGACCCGGAUUUGGUACCCGGUUAUUCCAUAAUGUCAAGUAUAGCUAUUUUAUUUGAAUUAAUAGUUUGCUAGGGGUACUACGAGCAACUGCUUAAAACUCGAAGAACUUGGCGGUUCCGCAUAACCAUCCAGAGGCUCUUGGCGCUUAAUCUGAUGAUCCGCGUGAUAUCUUACCUGCCCUAUAGAAAGCAGUGUACUGCCGUCGAAAGCUUAUGAUGUGAGUAAGUAAAAAUAGGCCCAAUCUUGGGGUUUUAAGAAAUUAAUAAUCAUACCGAGGCUAGGUCAGGUCGAAGUGCUCCUUAUGGGCAAGGGGUUAGCUGAGAGACAAAUAUUUAGACAUAUAAAGAUUUUAGAGAUGAAAUUCUCUUAGUGUAUAUAAGGAUUUGGGAGUAAAAAGAGAGUAAUUCGUUUUUUUGAAAAGACGCAACUGCGGUGCGUUCAAAUCGCCCGUCACCCUAGCCGAAAGGAGAGGUAAGUCGUAACAUGGUAAGGGUAGGGGAACUUGCUCUUUUAAU
rnacentral:rRNA from 1 species